AAAGUUUGCACUCCAAGAAAAUAUAUCCAGGGCAGGCGGUAGAAAACCGCAUUUUAAUACCGCCCCCCCCCUCAAAGGCGCCAAAGUCGCGCACACGCCAGUGACAGAACUGCAGCGCCGCUGAAGGUAAGGUUUGUAACAUACCUAAU